CGGCCGCGCGCCGCGGGGGGGAGGAGACGGUCUGGAGUCCCCCGCUGCGCAGGGGAUGGGGAGACGGAGGACUGCAGCGCCCCUUGGGGCUUCUGAUGCGCCCAGGUAAUCUCACCUGGCCGCCAGCCUCCCGCAGGAGGAACAGACACGCUGGUUCCACACCGAGCCUGUUAACAGCUCGACUUCCAAUAUUUGGGCCAUGUGUGUAUUAAUGAAAUGAUUGCAUCCGAUUACAUCUUUUAUUCAGAGAACAAGAAUGGCCCAUGAAUUCCGUCCUCCAGCAUUACUGCUUUUGUGGUGAAGUCACUAAUUAAGUUUACUCCGUUUCAGGCAGAGGUGGGAUCGCUGUUCACUAAGGUUUUAUGAGCCAACUUGGUUACUCAAAUGUGAAAAUGCAUUUUUUUUCAUUGGAGUCUCAAGAUUCUAUUUUUCCCAUUGAUGCAUUCACUGGUGUCCGCUAGUAUGGAAACCCUAGACACAAUGAAUCAAGUGAAAACAGUGCCUGCACGAAAUGCCUGCCACCUAAAGUAUAGUGUCUAUGCUUCGAUGAAUUUCUUCUGGCCAGUUUGAAGGAGGCUCAUGUUACGGGGCGGGUUUUGAUAUCAGUGAUGCUGUUCAAUGUUGAACUUGACACAGUAAAAGGAAACAGACAAAAGUUACUGCCCUUGUG
rnacentral:lncRNA from 1 species